rnacentral:rRNA from 1 species
GCGAUACAGGGUGACAGCCCCGUACACAAAAAUGCACAUGCUGUGAGCUCGAUGAGUAGGGCGGGACACGUGGUAUCCUGUCUGAAUAUGGGGGGACCAUCCUCCAAGGCUAAAUACUCCUGACUGACCGAUAGUGAACCAGUACCGUGAGGGAAAGGCGAAAAGAACCCCGGCGAGGGGAGUGAAAAAGAACCUGAAACCGUGUACGUACAAGCAGUGGGAGCACAGAGCAAUCUGUGUGACUGCGUACCUUUUGUAUAAUGGGUCAGCGACUUAUAUUCUGUAGCAAGGUUAACCGAAUAGGGGAGCCGAAGGGAAACCGAGUCUUAACCGGGCGUUAAGUUGCAGGGUAUAGACCCGAAACCCGGUGAUCUAGCCAUGGGCAGGUUGAAGGUUGGGUAACACUAACUGGAGGACCGAACCGACUAAUGUUGAAAAAUUAGCGGAUGACUUGUGGCUGGGGGUGAAAGGCCAAUCAAACCGGGAGAUAGCUGGUUCUCCCCGAAAGCUAUUUAGGUAGCGCCUCGUGAAUUCAUCUCCGGGGGUAGAGCACUGUUUCGGCAAGGGGGUCAUCCCGACUUACCAACCCGAUGCAAACUGCGAAUACCGGAGAAUGUUAUCACGGGAGACACACGGCGGGUGCUAACGUCCGUCGUGAAGAGGGAAACAACCCAGACCGCCAGCUAAGGUCCCAAAGUCAUGGUUAAGUGGGAAACGAUGUGGGAAGGCCCAGACAGCCAGGAUGUUGGCUUAGAAGCAGCCAUCAUUUAAAGAAAGCGUAAUAGCUCACUGGUCGAGUCGGCCUGCGCGGAAGAUGUAACGGGGCUAAACCAUGCACCGAAGCUGCGGCAGCGACACUGUGUGUUGUUGGGUAGGGGAGCGU